AUCCACCAGUGCCGGCAUGGCAGCCACCUGGAGCAGGAGAGGCCCAGAGGUGACCUGUGCAGCGGAAGUAUUAAGGGGCUUUGGCUGAGAACCUAGAAUGAUGGAGUUUCUAUUUCCUGUGGGAGGAACAACUUCAGAAGUACUACGAGGAAAGACAGGGACACACUGGGUUAGCGGUGCCUCAUCGGUAUCGAAGUGGAGAUGUGGAAGGGCAGCUGGACCUCGAGUGUGGAGCUCAGGCUGGAAACAGGCUGGAGCUGGAAAACUCCAGGCUGUAAACAGGACUCAGCACAAACGAGGUUCGGCAUUGAGUGAUGAGCGUGAGAGGGCCCCUUGGUGCUUCUUAAUUGACCCCUCCCACUGUACCUGAGCCAGGCUAACGAGGGUGGAGCUGAGACCCGAAAGCCGACCACAGGACCAAAUUGCAGGACAAACAAAUUCCUCCUGGCGUCCAGAGGAAUGGAAAACCGCCUGUUGUGGAAAACCCAUGCAUUUGGGGUUGGACGAGUAGUGGGAUCCUUGAGGAAAUUCAGAGAUCCUUGAGGAAAAACGUCAGUCUUGCCCCAGAACCACACCUCCUGGGGCCCGGGCCCUCCAGGAGUCUCCACCACUCACAGGGGGGCUGUUGCUGGCCCGCAG